rfam:Oleiphilus sp. HI0009 HI0009_c743, whole genome shotgun sequence.
ACGACUUACUGUACGUAUGCGCGGUAAGUGGUUUUUAAACAAGCAUAUUGAGGAAAAUAUCAUGGCAUUAAGCGCAGCAGAAAAAGCAGCAAUUCUUAAAGACUACCAACAAUCUGAA